GAAUAGUGAGGUCACCAACGAGAGGAAGAUGAAUGGUCAGACCCAAAUCCAACUGGUAGUCGAUGUCCCAAUCAGCACCAAUGUCCUCCAUCAAGCUCAGGAGUAUGGUAUGUGCCACCCUCACUGGCACCUCCAACACUGUCUCCUCAUACCCCGGCAGCGACCCUGGCCUCCCAAUCUUCCCUGAUACUAUCAUCCUACAUUCCCCAAACAAAAUAACCAACACGAAAAUGAAUAUUGUAGAUAAAAAAACUGGAAAAAAAGAAAAAGAAAAGGGGUGAAGAUGAAACCUGUCGGCGCUCUUGAGGGUAUAAGAGAUCUCGCCAAUGGGUAUGGGAACGAUAUAGGGGUUGCUCACAGAGACCUUGGCGUUGUACGUCACCCCGUCGCGGCUCAAAUCUUUGAUAUUGACGCCGACGAUCUUGGCCUCCGGCUUCUUUAUUAUAUUCCCCAUCUUCUCCAAUAAAAACCUCCUCGCUCCACCAAACAUCUGUAACAUGGCUCCACAACCUUCACCCACACUAAAAAAAAUUCCACAGUCGACUGAGAAAUGGAAUGGGGAGGAAGACACUGAGAGGGUGGUAUACAGAAAGGCAAAUGGCAGAUUACAUAUGGAUAUAUAAGUCUGUGGCGGCAUGUCGCACGAGGAAUCACUCCGCUGAUGCUGACGUCUCGAUUUAGAACCAGGCCGAUUUUUUCAAUCUCUUAUUUUUCAUGUGUUACGGAAAAAAAAAAAAGGAAACACCGAUUUGUUAGUUUUGAUUUUUUCUCCUCUUUUGUUUUAUUUCAGUUUCUUUUUAUCUUUUCCUGUAUUCCUAGUAUAUAUUUGCCUGUCUUUUGAGAUAUUUGAUCGAAAGAGACGAAAUAAUUCCUAAUUUUUUUUAAAAAAUAAUUUAAUUUAUUUAUCUAAAUAUCUUUUAUUAUUUCAGGUAGGGUAAAGGGUUAAUUUUUUUUUAAAAAAAAUAAUGACAUUUUUAUUCAAAUAAGAAAAAAAAAAUUGUACGAGGUUAAUUUUUAAAAACUCUUUUAAUCAAAUAAUCCUUGUUUUUAAGGUGUGUCGGGAUAAUUUUUGUUUUUUGUUUUUUUAGCUUUAACAUUAAGUGGAAAUUCAACUUAUAGUGUCAAAAUUUAAUAUUAUAAAAUUUUAAUUAAAUAUAAAAAAAUUCAAUGUUUUGGAAAUGAGAUUAAUCAUGUUAGUUUAAUCAAUAUGUGUUGUAGUAUGUGACUCAUAUCGAGUGAAAGACGUAUGAAGAAAAAAUGGGUAAAUAUUGGAACGGAGCAAAGUGACGACAUUUGGUAUUCAAGUUUGUAUUUUUAUUAUUAAGAGGGAAUAAUAGAUUGAGGGUGGUACGGUUUAGGGGUAUUUUUAAAAUUUCAUUACCUAAUGAUUAGUAUAAAUACCUUUUAUGUAACACUAAUUCGAUAUACAGUGAAAGUCAAUCUAGGCAAUUUGUCGUUAAAUCUGUGUGUUUUUCUUUUCGUUUUUCUCUAAUUUUUCAGAAGAAAUCGUUAUACGAAAAUCAGCAUCGAUGAUAUUUUUUAUUUGGUCCAAUCUUUUGAAUCUUUCAUCCUUUUAAGUCACCUCAAACCAUGAAAUGAUGAUUGGAUCGAUGGAUCAGACGAAUCUUCAAAAAUCAAAUGGUUCAUUCCUUCCUUCCACCUUUUUUUUUUUCAUUCAAAACAAUGGUGUUUUGAUACAUUUUACAAUAAAACGAUAUUGUUUCAUAUCCAAAUUCCAAGCCCUAGCCCCUGGUAUCAUUGCUCUACCUUUGAUCGACAACCUCGAUGUCCUCCAACGGUAUUGAUGGCUCCAGGCCCUUCCACACCACGCCGAUGCUGACUAUCGAUACAAAUACCACCCGUAAGUCCUUUCCCCCCUUCAUUUAAAUCAUUUUAAAUUGGGAGAAUCGGGCUUUUAAACGCAUUUGGCAUUGAUAAUUAAUAAAAAGUCCUUCAAAUACUCACAAUUUAUUACAAAGAUAUGAGAUAGGAAUAAACAAAAAUACCCUUUUAACUUACACCCAUCAUUUUUGUCUUUAUACCACCACUCUUUAUAUGUCACUUUCAUAAAAUUCUCCAUAAUUUAAUAUUUUUUUUAUUGUUUUUUUAAACUCUUUUAAAAAUAAUUGAAAAUUCGGUAUUAUUUUCUAAACAAAAAUUAUAUUAAUGAUUCAAAAACUAUUUUGGAAAAUACUUUUGAAAAAUACUUUUGAAAGAAAAGUUAAUCUAAAUGAAUAAAAAUUAUAUUUUACAUUUUAGAAGUAAAAAAUUUAAUGAUUAAAACACUAUUGAAAAUAAAUUUAUUUACUUUUUUUUUUCUUUUAUACUAAAAAAGUAUUUUAAAGUUUAUUUUUUUACUAUUAUAAAAUAAAAAAAUUAUUAUUUUUAAUCUUCUUCCUUCUUUAUUUUAAUAAUUUUUUGAACAUAGACUUUUGGUAAUAAGUUAUAUGAAAUGUUGCAAAUUUGUUUAUUAAGGGAUUUUCUUAAUAAUUUGACUUAAUUGAAAAUUUAUUGAAAUUAAAAAAAAAAAAAGGAGAGAGAGAAAGAUGAUAGAUGAAGAGUUUUUAUUUUAAAUAUCCCAUUAAAAUGUUUUUGUAUUUAGAAAUGGAUUAUAUUAAUACAUAGUAUAGUAGAGAUUGAAUUUUUCUCAUAUAAAAUGGUUGAAUGGUAUAUUUACCAAUUUUAAAUGAAAACAAUAGUUAAGAAUUGUAUAGAUUAUGUUUGAGUUUGGUUUUAAAAUAUUUUUUUAGUUUUUACUUCUUUUAUUUUUAAAAAUAAUUUUUAUUUUCUAUAUUGUCUUUUUUUUUUAAAUAUGUUUGAUUAAAAAAAGAAAAUUAUUUUUCAAAAUGAAAAUUAAAUACCUUUUUUAAUACUAUUUUUUUGUAUGAAAAUAAUAAAAAUAAUUAAAUUUUAUUUAUUGAUUAUUCUUUUUUAUUUUUUCUAUUAGUUAUUUUAAUAAAAAAAUAAAAAAAUAUAGUAUGUUCACAAUUAAAUAAAUGAAUUGGUCAAUUGUAUAUUUUUUUCACAAAAAUAUAAUAUGUUCACAAAAAAAAAUAAUUGGAUUUAAGUUUUCCACUCUUUUUCUUAAUCAAACUAUUGAAAUCAUAUUUAAUUUGUAUCAUUGUACUCACUAAUUGUACAAGGGAAAUGCACUAGAUGUACAAGGGGUGUAAAAGAUUACUAUUUGUAAAAGAUUUUUAUCAAUUCUAAACCACUCAUUUAUCUUCCUUGUCAACUAUGAAUUGCAUACCCAUAUCAUGCACUUUAUUUAACUCUCACAUAGAAAUUCUCAUACUUUCCCCAGUAAUGAUGUUUGAGGAAAAAAAUUUAACCCUAAUUCAUCCAUCAUUUUCUUAGCUAAACCAUUAGAAAUAUGAUUAACACACGUAUGUGGACACAUUAUUAGGAGAAGUAUAUUGCAUCAUUGUACAAUAGUAUUACACUAACUGUACAAAAGAAAUGUACUAAGUAUACAAAAGACUACCAUUUGUGAAAGAUUUUAAUCAAUUCUGAAUCACUUCUUCAUUUUCCUUGUCACCACAUAUUACAUACCCAUGUCAUGCACUUUAUUUAACUCCCACAUGGAAAUUCCAAUACUCUCCCUAGUAAUAAUGUUUGGGAAAAAAAAUUAGCCCUAAUUCAUCCACCAUUUUAUCAGCCAAACCAUUAGAAACAUGGUUAGCAUACCUACGUGGACACAUAACUUAAAAGGGAUAUAUUGCAUCAUUGUAUAAUGGUGUUACACUAAGUGUACAAGAGAAAUGCACUAAGCGUACAAGGGUGUACAAGGUUACCAUUUGUGAAAAAUUUUAAUUGAUUUUGAAUCACUUCUUUAUUUUUUUUGUCACCUACGAAUUGUAUAUGAAAUUUGUUCUACUAUACAAGGGUGUUAUACUCAUUAUACAAAGCAAAUGUACUAACUGUAUAAGACAAAAAUACUAACUGUACAAGGGGUGUACAAGGUUACCUUCUAUGCAAGAUUUCAAUUAAUUCUGAACCUUUUUUUUUUCUUGUCACUUAAGGAUUAGACAUUUUUCCCCCACACAUUCCUUUACCUAAAAAUUGUUACAAUUUGAAUUUUUAAAUUUCAUCAUCCAAAAUUUGUAAUUGCAUAUUUUGUUUGAGUAGUUUUAACAAUUUUUUUUUUAGUACAUUUACAUCUCAUAUAAAGGAAAAUUAACUAAAAUAUUUAGGUACUACCUUUUUUGUGAAAUCAUGUAUGAGGAAAAAAAGAAGAGAAAAUUAUGUUACAUUUGCUUGACUUGAUGACAUCGUGUUUUAAUAAUUUAAACCAUGUCAAGUCCACGUCUAUUCCAUAUUUAAAAUGGUAUUUUAAUAUUUUUCAAAUUAUUAAAUUAUAAUACAUUAUUCAAUUAAAAAUUAAUUAUCACCAUUGGUUAAAAGAUGACCAUGUUACAAAAGAAUAUAUUAAGACAAUGUCUAUAUAUUAUCCAUAAAAUAUAGAAAAUAUUAAAAUAAUUGUCUAUAACCUUAAAGAUAUUUGUAUAAAAAAUAACUUAUAUAUAUAUAUAUAUUAGAUAAAAAAUAAUGAUACCAUUUUUUUAAGGUGUUUAAAAAAUAUUUAUUAUAUAUUUUGUAAGUUUGAAAAAAAAAUAUUUUAUGUGGUGUUUAAAAAAUAUUUACUUCAAAAAUGUAGUAAUAAUCAUUUUUAACAAUUGAUUUCUAAUAUUUUGUUGAGAGAAAAAUAAUUAGUGGAAAUAGUGACACUUCUUUAACUAGAAAUUAAUUUACAUGGUCCCAUCAAUUAAUACGUGAGAGAGAGGUAAAGUGAAUAAAGAGAGAAUGAGAGAAAAGUGAAAAGCCCAUUGUUUUUUUUUUCAUUUUUGAUAGCAAAGGGCAUUUCAGGAAAUUUUGAAAAAUAAUAUCCUUCAACUUAAUUUUCACUAUUCCAUUAAGUCUUGGGCUUAAAUAUAAAAGAUAUAAGGAUUUUGGGUCAAUUUUCAAGCCCAAUCGGGUGCAAAACACAAUUCUCCAUUUUUAAAUUUUCUAAUUUGAUUCAUUUAAAAACAAAUUUCUAAUUUAUUACUUUAAAAUAAAUUUAAUUUCAUUAUAAGUUAAAAUAGAGCUUAUAUAAAAACGUGCUGUAAAUUUUAAAAAUAAUAACGUAAUUAUUGAAUUAUUAUCAACUUAUAUAAUGAUCCAAAUGAGGGUAUUAAAAAUUUAAAUAACUUUUUUUUUGACAUAAAAUCGUUGGAUCAUUUAAAAAAUAAAUUCUUAGUGUCUUAUUUUUUUUAAAUAUUGUUUUUUAUUUUAACUAAAUUCACAUAAAUGUUUUUAUUUUUUAUUUUAUAUUUUAUGAUUUAUAGUAUCAAAUAUAAAUUCAAACCCAUAAACUUCCAUAGUAUAGAAGAGGAUAAAAUAGGAAAAUAUUGAGUAGAAGAGAACAAGAGGAAAAAUUUUAUAAAGGCAUGAUAAAAAGAAAUUGUGUAUUUUAAAAAAAUAGACAAAAAAAGUUGUAAUUCUCAAAAAGGAAUAUUUUUAUAAAACAAACAAUACUAGUGCAAGAGAAAUUACUAAUUAAUGUUAAAAAUUGAUUAAUUAAAGAUUAAAUAUAAUAAACAAUCUAUUCAUUUUUGAAAAAUUUUAGGGGAUUCAAUGCCGACUAAACUUGUGAUCUUUGUCAUUGAAAGUGUAUGUUAAAAUUUAAGUCAUUUGAUGAAAUUAUAGAUAUAUCAUACAAUAUAACAAAAAGAUGAAAAUCAAGUAUAAAAUAACGGGAUUAAGGUAUAAAGUCAUAAGAUGCAAGUUGAAUAUAAAACGGUGAGAUCAAGUUAUAUAUGAGACACAUUAUGAUCGGUCUAAUUUUUCAAUAGGUAUUGAUUUAAUAUUGUAAUGGUAUGAUAUCAUACGUUAAGAAAAAAUUUCUAACAUUAUAUAUGCAAUAAAGUUUGUUUGAUUGUUUAGACACAUUUUAAAGUGUUGUUGAAUAUUAUUUUUUAAUAGAUAAAUACUAAAAUAAAAGUUAAAAUUAAAUAUAAUUGUCAUUUUAUUUUCUUAAGGGUUUAGAUAAAGGGUAAAAUAGUGAUUAUGAUUUACUAUAAAAGGAAAGCAUGGGAAACAAGAUACAAUUCUCAAGAGCAUUGUUAAAUGCAUCCAUCACCUCUUUCUCUACAUUCCACCAUUUUUCUUUUUUUACGACAAAAUUUAUUUAUAAAAGGACCAAAUUGCCCUCUUUCUCAAGCUUCAAACAUCUACCUAUUACAAACUCUAAUCUCAUUCGUUUCCUGUCCACCUUGAUUGGUUUUGGAUUUUUAUUUUUUUACAUUAAAAAAAUAUUAAGGAAGAAGGUAAAGGGAAAAAAAUUAAUGAAAUUAGCCUAACAAAGGAAUAUUGUCAAUAAUCAAUUCAAAUUAAGAUUGAAAAUAUUUUUCUUGUUUUAAUCUUACCGGAGGUGGGUCGUUUCCAUCACUAUUUUAAUAAUUAUUGUGAUUUGUGAAAAAUAAAAUAAAAUAAAAUAAAUUGAAUAUUUUAAUAUUUUUAAAACUAAAAUAAAUCCUAAAAAACUUUUAAAAAAUUCCAAGAAAAGGAUUUUGAGAGUAUUUUUUAUAAUAUACUACACAAUGGGAAAAAAAAAUCAUUUACUCAAUGGUUAAACAUCUUUUUAGAGUCUAUUUGGUGAUGUUAGAAUCGCCUAUCGCUUUCUAAAAAGAUUGUUGAUUUUCAAAAUCACUGCCAAACAUGUUCUUUAAUCAACUUAAAAAAUAAGGUUAAGUUUUAAACCAAAUUAAAACGUAAUCACCGGAUCCAAAGACGAUCUUUAUUUGCUUAUCCAAAGUCAAAGUACAGACGCAUGAAAAGUCAAACAUGCACGAGGUUCAUUGGAACACUCCAAAACAAGAGAAAGUGAUGAAUCAAGAGAGGGGUAGAUCAGAAGACAUCAGAGAGAGUAGGGAGCUUGAUCUCUCCUUUCCUGGAAAGAGGAAUAGUGAAGUCACCAAAGAGAGGAAGAUCAAUGGUCAGACCCAAGUCCAGCUGGUAGUCGAUGUCCCAAUCGGCGCCGAUGUCCCUCACCAGGCUCACCAGUAUGUUGUGCGGCACCUUCACCGGCACCUCCAGCACUGUCUUCUCGUUCCCCGGCAGUGACCCUGGGUCCUCCAUCUUCCCCGACGCUAUCACCCUGCAAGUUUUUUUAAUUUCUUCCCAACAUUAAUUUCAACCACAGAAUUUUUUCAAAAAAAAAUUGUAAAUUGGGCUUUUACAUAAAGAUGUAUGUAAAAGAGAGCAGAAUCCAAAUGGGUAUUUACUAUUUAGUCCAACAAUCCACAGAAGAAGGCAACUGAUCCAAACAUCGCCUUGUUCUUGUUCCUUGCCGGAUCAAGAUCAGAACGACGUCGUUUUAUCACCCUCAUAUGAAUGGAAAGGACUUCAGCACAAACGACGUCGUUAUGUCCGGCAUGACAGGUUUUCCAUAAAAGGAAAAAUGAAAAAAGGAAACCUUCUAUCCUUUUCCGGAAUCCGACAGAUAUCAAACGACGCCGUUUUGAAAAACAUUACAAGUCAAACCUCUACCCAGGAAACAAGGAGCAAAACAACACAGAGAGGAUACCACACGACGUCGUUGAGCAGAUCGGAGAAAAAAGAGAGGAAGGAAAAGGGAAUCGAGAUCAAACCUG
rnacentral:lncRNA from 1 species